GUAAAACUACUCGUAAAAAUGUUUUCCACUAUGGGCCAUAAGAUAUUGUGAGGUUUUUUCUAAGGACUGAUGAAAGUACAACUGCCCUACCGCUUAAAUUGUAAGCCAGUGUGUUCUAAAGAGGCCUAAGUCAUCAAUUAGCUCGAAUUUAGUUAGUUGAUGGCUAAGUGAAUAGACGUUAUGUCUGAAGUCUAGUGAGACAUGGUGGCAAAUUCCGACCAUGAAAGUACAAUAUUUUAGAUCAUUUCUAGACAGUAUCGAUGCUAUAAAGGUUUACAUCAAA